UUAUUUUUGUGUAAAAGCCAGUAAGCAAUUUCUUGAUGUCCUCUUUAAGUGUUGAUCAAAAAUUUGACCUGAAAGAGAAAAUUUAGUUUCCAACCCAAAUCUCAUUGUUGUCCCCCCAUGAAUAACUUUUAAAUAAUCAUAAAGCUAGAAAUUCAACUGCAAUCUGACAUCAGUGUGAGCCUGUUUUUGGUUUCGUGUACUGAAUAAUGUGUCUUUGAACAUUAAGGCCUGAGAGCUUAAUUUGUUAUUAUAUUUUUUUGUAUUAGUUUUGAUGGAUCUUCAUAUUCCUGUUUACAUGCCUACUUACUUGUUAAGGUUGAAGGCUCACUGAGCAACUUAACUUUAUCAUGGCCUGAACUGCAUGAACUCAGUAAAAUCGAAUUUCAUUAUGACAGUCUAAAAAAAGAAAAAAAAAAUCAUAAUCAAAGAUCAAUUUCUUGUCUUGUUUCCUUGCAUGGUGGACGACAAUUAAACAAAUGCACCUCCAGCUCGAUCCGUGUGAAAACAACACAUUACAGGCUGACUCGGACGUGUUGUGGAGCAGCAACAGGUUAAUUAGUCGUUGCAUUAUUGCAGUCAAACGAAAACACAGAGCACCUGAGGGACAAAACGAGCCCACACAUGGAGAAAAUCUUUACAGUCCAUCGUUUUAUAUUUCGAUCACAUUAAAUUAAAUAAAUAAAUCCCACAUGGCUUCUUCAGAUUGUUAAUCUCUCGUCAUCAAAAUGCUCAACUUUAAUGCUCAUAAAGCUGCACGGCUGAAGCGCUCAGCUCUGCAUGCAUGUUAUAUAUAUUCCUUCCAGUAGUAAAGGGUGUUGAAGCCCGCAGUGAUCCCUGUCUGUCUCCCUCUCCUCCGCCGAGAGAGGUGGAGGCUGUUUGGUUGGAGAUGUGGGUCGGAAGUACCGUAGUUUAUGUAUGCUAAUAGGGAGAGUUGGGGGUUGUAGCUAGAUAUUUACGUUCAGUGGGAGCCGCCCUUCAUUCACCCACAUGGUUACCAACUGGUCGCCUUCGCGCCACUUUCCUAACCCCGCAAUCAUGUCUAACCAGCGUAUCUGGGCUAUAAAUUCACCCGCGAUCGGCUCGGAUUUCACUCCACGCUUCGGUUUUGUCCUCCGGUAGAAAAGUUUUCGGAUUAGUUGCGUAUUUAUUUCCCUCUUUUGUCGGCGAGAGACUACACGGCAGCCCAAGCAAGUGAGCGAAGAUGGUGGAUUUCGGCUGAUCUACCAUGAGGUGCAGGACCCUGGCCACAAUCGCGACAUGGAGCCAUGUGAACAUCCUCGCCAUGGUGCUGUAAUCAGUCUGUGGUAUUGUCAAAGUGCUUACAGUGCAGGUGGGGAUCAGUGGCAAUGCUGUGUACCUGGAGGUAUUGCACUUGUCCCGGCCUGUGUAGGAACGAGGAGAUGGAGGCAGCCCGUAUCUUAAACCAAGCCAUGAUUAAGAAAACUCCUGUGCUCGUGGUUACACAUCCCAUUUUGUUUGGUCUGUUUUGAAAUGCAUGUGAUUACCGGUGAUGGGUUUAAAGUAAUUGUAGUGUUGCUUGAAAAAUAUAUAUUAAAAAAAAAAGUUAUAUAUUUUCUUUCUCUGAAUGUUUUUUGUUAUGCAAAUCUCACAAUGUAUGGGUUGUAUCAUUUUAACAUCAGUGCAUGUUUUAUGGUUGGAGUUGAUCUGAAUCUCCAGUAAAUUUUUAGCUGGAAAAACUAAAUCAUGGCAUAACUUUGUAAUGCCAGCUGUAUAAUAAACUGGAACGCAUUCAAAA